rnacentral:rRNA from 1 species
AGUCGAACGGGACUGUUCAAUCGGAAGUUUUCGGAUGGAAGAGUGGACAGUUUAGUGGCGAACGGGUGAGUAACGCGUGAGUAACCUGCCCUUCAGAGGGGGACAACAGUUGGAAACGACUGCUAAUACCGCAUAAGCCCACGGUGUCACAUGGCACAGUGAGAAAAGGAGAAAUCCGCUGAAAGAUGGACUCGCGUCUGAUUAGAUAGUUGGUGGGGUAACGGCCUACCAAGUCGACGAUCAGUAGCCGGACUGAGAGGUUGAACGGCCACAUUGGGACUGAGAGACGGCCCAGACUCCUACGGGAGGCAGCAGUGGGGAAUAUUGCACAAUGGGGGGAACCCUGAUGCAGCGACGCCGCGUGAAGGAAGAAGGUAUUCGUAUUGUAAACUUCUGUCGCAGAUGACGAAAAGAUGACGGUAAUCUGUAAGAAAGCACCGGCUAACUACGUGCCAGCAGCCGCGGUAAAACGUAGGGUGCUAGCGUUGUCCGGAAUUACUGGGUGUAAAGGGAGCGCAGGUGGCAGUGCAAGUUGGAUGUAAAAUCUACGGGCUCAACCCGUAUAAGCAUUCAAAACUGUGCAGCUUGAGUGAAGUAGAGGUAGGUGGAAUUUCCGGUGUAGCGGUGGAAUGCGUAGAUAUCGGAAGGAACAUCAGUGGCGAAGGCGACCUACUGGGCUUUAACUGACGCUGAGGCUCGAAAGCAUGGGUAGCAAACAGGAUUAGAUACCCUGGUAGUCCAUGCUGUAAACGAUGAUUACUAGGUGUGGGGGCGAAAGCUUCCGUGCCGGAGUUAACACAAUAAGUAAUCCACCUGGGGAGUACGACCGCAAGG